ACACACAGCAGGUGCUCCUCCAGAGGUUCAUGUGGCUGCACAGGUCCCAGAGGAUCUGCGAUCUGAGAAGCAGAGACAACACUGGUCACCAAACAGCUCUACUCCCAGUGCUGCGAAGAUAAAGAAGAGAAGCAUGAAGAGAAGACCCAGAUUCCCCACCUGUAGAGAGAGAGAGAGAGAGCGAGAACAGACUGAGAUAGAGAGCCAGACUUUUUGCUUUUUUCUGAAGCCUGAAAGAAGAUGAGAAGAGGAACAGAUCCAGAAAUACCACCUGCUGAGAGCCAAGGAAGGAGAGAGCUAUGGAGUGAGAGUGCAUUAGCCCCAUUCCCAGUCACCAGCACUAUAGCCUCAAAAGCAUCUACAAGUGGCUAAAUAUGGCAAACAGCAGCAAAACAUACACGGCAGUAACCAUGCACAACUGCAUGGACAACAUCAGGCCUGACGAUUAACAUUGUGGAACAGACACUAGGGGAUAUGAUCUAUACCACCUUAAACUGAGCUACUGCUUUUAAUACAACAUUACAAAAAAGAUCAACAGUUCAUGUGUGAUGACAGCUGAAGAAGGGAGAUCUAUCAGCAACAAUAUUUGAUAAACAAUAUAACCUACCUGAGGCAGAGCCUGGAUGACUGUGUCCAGCAGAGCCCGCAUUCCCACUGCCAUCUUCAGGAGCUUCAGCACUGCCAAAAUAAAGAGGAAUUAGAAAAGCACAUUCUCUGCAUAAUUAAUUUUUUUUUUUUUUGUUUUACAAAAUGUACACAAUUUAACAUAUUGACCCAACGUUAGAGCUAGCACAGUAUAUAGUGGCAUUAUUUACCACCAAUUAGAUUUAUGUAAACCAAUAAAUGCCUAGAUGUACACAUCGUCGCUGUCCAAAGAAAAGCAAGUAUCUCCAAAACAGCAACUAUGCAGAAGUGAGAGAAAAUAGAGGUCAUUGUAAAAAGAGUUUAUUUCAGGUAAU